AAAAAAGUCCCAGGCGAUCAGACUUGGACCAAAUCGUGGUGGUCUGCCCGCUCGGAACCAAUUUGUGGCGGGGAAAAGGGGAGAUUGGCGCCGAGCGUUGCCGCCGCAGAGGACAGGCAGGGCCGCGCCGCCGCCGCCCCAGUGAAGCGCUCCGCCUCGCCGCGGCAGUAAUCAGCGCCGCCGAGCCCCCGCGGGAACCAGCUCCGCCGAGUCGCCGGGGAACCAGAAGAGCGCCGUCGUGCGCCGGGUAGCAGCGACUUGCCGCCGCGGUCCACGGAGGAGCGCCACCCUGACCACCACGUCCGGUUUCCCAGAAUUGAAUGUUGUGCAAUGGCAGAAAUUGGAAAGAGGACACCCAAAGUUGGUAUGAGGUUCAGAGAUUCGGAAGAGGCUUGGAGUUUUGGGUAGAUUAUGGGGGUCACAUCGGCUUUGAUGUGAGGAAAAGAUCCACAAUCAAAAGCAGAUGUGAUGGUGUGAUUACUUCACGCUGGUUUGUUUGUUCCAAUGAAGGCCAUCGAAGGAAAAACCAAACAGAUCAUGAGCCAAAGCGUAUUAGAGCAGAAACAAGAACCAAUUGUAAGGCUCAUGUGAUUGUUACAUAUGAUCGAGUUGCCAACAAUUUUGAAGUCACCGAAGUUGAUUUGGAGCACAAUCACCGCCUUCAAUUGCCACAAACCUGCCACUUGUUAGCAUCACAAAGGAAGAUUUCAGAAGUGCAAGCUUUCGAGAUAGAAACAGCCGAUGAUUCUGGAAUUAUGCCAAAAGCUUCACAUGAGUAUGCUUGUCGUCUAGUUGGUGGCCCUAACAACCUUGGUCACACUUACCGUGACCGAAAGAACCAUUUGCGAAGCAAGCGGCAGCGGGAGUUGGCUUAUGGACAGGCUGGAAGUAUGUUGAAUUAUUUUCGUGACAAGCAGGCUGAGAAUGCAGCAUUCGUGACAAGCGGCAGCGGGAGUUGGCCCUAACAACCUGGUCACACUUAACUAAUUUCAGUGAUUUUUGUUCUCAGCCACAAAGAAGGAUGGUGUGCAACAAAAGAAAAAAGAUGGUGUGCAGCCUCAAGUAGAAGUGGAGAAGUAUGACAACAACAAAGAAGUAAAUUUGGUGCUUCAAGAGUGCAAUAAUAUUAUGAGUUUCACCCAGCUCUUGACGGCUGACCAUGAUAAUCUGUUCUAGCAUGGAAGCUCCUUAGAUAAUAUUUUGUACAUGGUGGUGAUCAUGAUGAUUAUCUGUUCUAGCAUGGAACUCGUGAGAUAGUAUUUUGGACAUGGUUAACUAUAGUAGUAUGGGGUUAACUAUAUUAUUUUGUAGCCUAAGUGACAAGCAAGUGGUACUGAAUUUGAAUGUAUUGAGCUUUUGAAUUACAAGCAAGUGGUACUGAAUUUCAAUCAAGUGGUACUUAGUUUGUAUUGUUAAAUUACUGCUGUUUUUGUUGCUAUAUGACCGUUGUUUGCAUACAGUUUUUUUGUUUUUUUGUAUAGCUAAGUUUGAAAUUUAAUACUGAAUUUCAAUCAAGUGGUACUGAAUUUGUAUUGUUAAA